rnacentral:rRNA from 1 species
AUGGGAGUUGCUGAAUUGUCGCCUCCCUUGCCGUCCUCAAGCGCUCCAAGUAGCACUGCCCUGGUGGUGAGGGCGAACAAGGGGGGAGAUCACCCUGAGGCGCGUCGCGGUCCUUCUUCUCCUCCAAUCUUCCUCCGCGAGCCCUUCUUCAACAUCGCCAGCCUGCCGUGGGCUUCCCGGCUGGCCGUAGGCUGUGGCUGGUCGGGGAGCCCCCUGCGCCCUGCUCCUGGAGAUGGGCUGGCCUUAGGCCGGGCUUCUGGUACGAUGCGCCCGGCCAUCGGGAGUGCGCCAGCCCCCAGCCCCCUGCCCGGAGGGGGACUGAUGGUCCAUGGUUCCCGGCGCCUGCUCGGGGCAGGCGAUGAUGUGGAAGACCUGCUCGGACGCGCCCAAGAGCGCCGUGCUCGCCGUCGAGAGUUUCUUCGAAGGGCGACCAGCGCGGUGGAGUUGCUCGGGGAGGAGCUCGCCGGUGAGGACGCGCGCCUGGAGGCCGCGGGCCUGCGUCUAGUCGCAGAGAGGCGCGGGCUUGAGGCAGCCACCAACCUCGCGCGCCGCCAGCGCGAUCUUGAUGAUGAAGAGGAGAGGGUGGCGCUGGAAGCUUCUCGGGUGGCAUGA